rnacentral:rRNA from 1 species
CAGUAGCCGCGGUAAUACGUAGGCGGCAAGCGUUGUCCGGAAUUAUUGGGCGUAAAGGGAGCGCAGGUGGGACGGUAAGUCCGUCUUAAAAGGCAGGGGCUCAGCCCCUGUAAGGGAUGGAAACUAUCGAUCUUGAGUGCCGGAGAGGAAAGCGGAAUUCCCAGUGUAGCGGUGGAAUGCGCAGAUAUCAGGAGGAACACCGAUGGCGAAGGCGGGUCACUGGGCUGUUACUGACGCUGAGGAGCGAAAGCGUGGGGAGCGAACAGGAUUAGAUACCCCCGUAGUCCCUGUCUCUUAUACC